CCCAAUUCUCCAUAGGCUCUAUAAACAGUGGGGUGACCCACCUCCCCCCCUCUUUUGGCUUUAGAGACACCACAGUUCCACCCCUAGGUUGCAUCUCCUGUCUGGCGCUGUAGAGGUAUGAUGAUGAUGGUUCACUGUCCUUGUUCUCCCUCUGUGGUACAGGAGUUGGUACUGAGUUAGUGGAGUUUCAUGGAGGAGAUGAUAAGAAAUUUGACCCAAUCCCAAAAUUAAAACAGUGAAGACAACAGGCAAAACGACGGGAGCUCUGAUAAUGGAGGUUUGGUUUGACAGCAGCAGACCUGGUCAGGAGAUCUUGCCUGUUUCUCACUCCCCUUAUUCCCAGGAUUUUCCCUUCCAGAGCGCAGGAAUCAUGAAGCAGUACGACCACAAGGAGACACUGAAGUCCUAAUUCGAAAACACAAAGGUCAGGUGUGACUUCUCCGAGGUGGACAAGUGCUUCCACCAGGUUGCAGCCAACGUCGAUGUCGACCUCAUCCUGCAGAAAUACCUGGGAGACGCUGUGACCGAGAUCUGUGAAAAGCAGCCUCCACAGCCCAGGAGGCACAUUAUCCAGGUGGACGAGGCUUUCAAAGAGAACCAGCUGUCCACCCCUUCCUUUCCUGGACCUCGGCGCCCCUGGGCCCUCCUUCUUCACUCACCUGUGACCCCCCUGAGCUCAUUAAACUCCCUGCCGACUGCUCCAUGCCGCCCCAUCAACCCCCGAAAGAGUCCUCUCCUUUGAGGAACAUCAGAGCUCCUGAGAUUCAGAAACAGUGUCCAGGUGCAAAGAGGCGUGCUUUCCAAGUCAGCCCUGAAAAGAUGAAGAGGACAACAUGUCCACCUCUUCCAAUCCUGACACUGACCCGUCCCAGGUCACUGCCCCACUGUCCAGCCAGCUGCCUGUCCACAGACCCCUCCAUCACCUCCCUCCCAUCACCUCUCAGUAGAAGACUGAGGUGAAGAAGACUAAGAAGAGGAAGAAGAGGCAGAGGAAGCAGGAGAGUCAGGAAGGUCCGAGUACUAAAGACAAGGCUCCAGAGUUGCUGAAAGUCAGAACACAGGUGCUGAGACACCUAGAGGACCCUGUAGCUCCUGUGAUUCUAGGAGAGUUGAGGAGUGAACCUUUACUGUAGUGUCCAGUCAGUGUGUCUGUAUGAACCCCUCUCUCUCUCAGUGCAGUGUUAAUG